rnacentral:lncRNA from 1 species
AGCUGAAAUAACUUUUUAGAACCUUGUGCCUAGAUAAAAAAUUUAUACUGUAACAUAUCUGCCUUAAUUAGUGUUUUAGUUUGAUAGUUACAGUUUGUAAUGUACAUUUAUUUAAAGAUCUCUUUAAUCUAGUUUAAAGACUUUAAAAAAAGGAUACAUCUACGUGGUUUAUGUGUUUAUUAUAACAUCUCUUCUUUAUUGUGCUGCCAUUAUCUAGGUUCUCCACUGAGUUAGGCUGCUCUUGAAAUACAUGCCUUGACAGUUGGAAUACUUCCAGUGUCUCACUGGAUCCUAAGAUUUUAAAGCAAAUCAAGCCACACUUACUAAGGACUUCAACCUUGGUGUUGCUUGUGUACCUGCACAUCCUCCACGUUCUACCUUUAAGCUACACUAGUACAGGUUUUAGAAAACAUAUACUGUAAGCAACAUGGAAGAAUUUGAGGAAAGCAUCAUAUGCUUUUUGUCCUAUUCUCCCUGGUCUCCAUCCCAGAAUGAACAAUGCAAAAAAAAAUGAAGCUGAAUAUGACAAAUCUGGAGCAGAAUAUGAAGCUUGUACAUGUGCAUGCAAUCUGCCUUGGAGAAGCUGGGUGUUCAUUUCAAAAGACUGUGGGAUUCCUCGAAGAAAGGAACACUAACAGAAAUACUUUUCCACACUAGUGGCCGUCACCUUUGUUUUAAUACUUAGGUCCCGGAUAUGGCAAAACCCAGACACUUCUACUGCUUUCCUGCCUAACGUUUAGCAAAAGCAAAUCUUGCUGCCUUCCCAAUCUUGCUUCCUUUCCAGUC